rnacentral:rRNA from 1 species
ACGCACGCUGGCGGCGUGCCUAAUACAUGCCAGUAGAACGCACAGUUUAUACCGUAGCUUGCUACACCAUAAACUGUGAGUUGCGAACGGGUGAGUAACGCGUAGGUAACCUGCCUGGUAGCGGGGGAUAACUAUUGGAAACGAUAGCUAAUACCGCAUAAUAUUGAUUAUUGCAUGAUAAUUGAUUGAAAGAUGCUAUUGCAUCACUACCAGAUGGACCUGCGUUGUAUUAGCUAGUAGGUGAGGUAACGGCUCACCUAGGCGACGAUACAUAGCCGACCUGAGAGGGUGAUCGGCCACACUGGGACUGAGACACGGCCCAGACUCCUACGGGAGGCAGCAGUAGGGAAUCUUCGGCAAUGGACGAAAGUCUGACCGAGCAACGCCGCGUGAGUGAAGAAGGGUUUCGGAUCGUAAAGCUCGGUUGUAAGAGAAGAACGGGUGUGAGAGUGGAAAGUUCACACUGUGACGGUAUCUGACCAGAAAGGGACGGCUAACUACGUG